rnacentral:rRNA from 1 species
CCUACGGGUGGCACCAGUGAGGAAUUUUGCGCAAUGGGGGAAACCCUGACGCAGCAACGCCGCGUGAGUGAAGAAGGCCUUCGGGUCGUAAAGCUCUGUCAAGUGGGAAGAACCCUUCCGUGGUUAACAGCCACAGGAAGCUGACGGUACCACUGAAGGAAGCACCGGCUAACUCCGUGCCAGCAGCCGCGGUAAUACGGAGGGUGCAAGCGUUAUUCGGAAUUACUGGGCGUAAAGGGCGCGCAGGCGGCCUGUUAAGUCAGUUGUGAAAGCCCGGGGCUCAACCCCGGAAGUGCGACUGAAACUGGCAGGCUUGAGUAUGGGAGAGGGAAGUGGAAUUCCUGGUGUAGCGGUGAAAUGCGUAGAUAUCAGGAGGAACACCAGUGGCGAAGGCGACUUCCUGGACCAAUACUGACGCUGAGGCGCGAAGGCGUGGGGAGCAAACAGGAUUAGAUACCCUCGUAGUC